UACGGAGGGUGCAAGCGUUAAUCGGAAUUACUGGGCGUAAAGCGCGCGUAGGCGGUUUGAUAAGUAGGCUGUGAAAGCCCCGGGCUUAACCUGGGAACUGCAGUCUAAACUGUCUGACUAGAGAUCAGUAGAGGGAGGUGGAAUUCCUGGUGUAGCGGUGAAAUGCGUAGAGAUCAGGAAGAACAUCGGUGGCGAAGGCGACCUCCUGGACUGUGUCUGACGCUGAGGUGCGAAAGCGUGGGUAGCGAACAGG
rnacentral:rRNA from 1 species